rnacentral:rRNA from 1 species
CAGCCGCCGCGGGAAAACGUAGGGUGCGAGCGUUAAUCGGAAUCACUGGGCGUAAAGCGUGCGCAGGCGGUUGUGUAAGACAGGUGUGAAAUCCCCGGGCUUAACCUGGGAACUGCGCUUGUGACUGCACAGCUAGAGUAUGGCAGAGGGGGGUGGAAUUCCACGUGUAGCAGUGAAAUGCGUAGAUAUGUGGAGGAAUACCGAUGGCGAAGGCAGCCCCCUGGGAUAACACUGACGCUCAUGCACGAAAGCGUGGGGAGCAAACAGGAUUAGAUACCCCAGUAGUCCCUGUCUCUUAUAC